ensembl:lncRNA
AGACAGAACACAAAGCAGAGCGAUGUGAAGACCCACGUCGGGUGAAGAUAUCCUCACUCCCUCUCCCACUGAGCUCAAUAAACCAGUUUGUUCCUCUACACCGAGCGUCCUGCUCUGACCGGCCCGCCUCAUGUUUUGGAACUGCCACACUGUUCUCCGCGUUAUGGGGCGACUUUACCUCCCUUGGCCUUAACUCGAGGACCCUAUACACAAGCUCAAGAAGACAACGAAGAAGAAGAAGAAGAAGAAGAGUUUGGAACUUCAGGCUGGUGGAAGAGGCAAGGCAGCUGAGGGGGAUGUCGCGGUGGGUCCGUGUGUGUUAGCGCCUGCCCCACCUGCUGCAGAGACCCCCGCAGGCCCCGCCCCCUGACGCCGUCUGAGUCUGCUGGCUCCGCCCCUCCCCACCCAAGAGACCCCAGCACGCC